UCCUCGUAAGCGUCGAAGAGAAGCGGUUACAUCUCCUGUGGCACCACUGUAUCAGCCUCCACCAUUACCAUUACCAUUACCAUUACCAGCACCUGCACCUCGACCGCUUAUUGUUCCUUCAUACGCCUAUAGGAGUAGACCAGAAGUAAAUGUUUACAGGCUAGAUCCGUACUUGGAUGAUCGUGACCCUUAUAGAGGUGGGCGAGAUCCAUAUUUUGACCGUCGUGACCCAUACAGAGAAAGGCAAGAUCCAUAUAUAGAGCACCGGGAUUCUUCCAGAGAUGGCCGAGGUUUGCCGUCCCAGGUUUCUUACAGGAGGGAACCAGCAAUGGUGCAUACUGAUGUCUACAGGCCGGACCAGUUGGUCGAGUACCGUGAUUCUUAUGGAAGUCAUGAGCUGUUAGAGUACCGUGAUCGUCGGUCAUCAAAUUUGGGAACUAGGCGGCUGGACGAGAUUAGCAGCCGUGAACCCUAUGUUUCAUAUCGAGAUCGUACAUCAAAUUUGGAAGCUAGACGACGAGAUGAGAUUGUGAGUCGUGAUCCCUAUGUUUCAUACCAAGAUGGUACAUCAUAUGCUGACUCUGUGUAUUCUACAGAGCGUCUUUCUCGAACAGGCUUGGUACCCGAGUAUCGUCUUGCAGGUCCGAUAACUGAUCAUCCUCUUCCUGUGUAUCGCUCUCGGGGAAACUUAUCUCGAUAUUGAAGUUAUGUAAGAUGAGGACACCGUACUUUUUGCUGGUGCUUUUGUGUUUCGUUUUGCUCUUAUCCAACAGUUUCGUUUUGCUCGUAUCCAACAGUAAAUUUUUUAUUAGUUCGACUUGAGGCUGGUUUAAUUACUAUUGCUUUCGAACACAGAGAGACAUUAUCUGGUCAACUUUUACUAUACUAUAUUGACAGGAUAAAAUUAAUUUAAAGUAGGGAUAUAAAUUAAGGGAUGAUUUGAAUAAAUUAACACGAGCAAUCUGUCUUUCCUUUUUAUUAGUUACAUAGAGAAAAAGUAAUGUGAUUUAUAGUCGUUCACUACGGUAGUUGUCCUAUAUUUUACAUGACAGUUUGUAAUUUGAUUUAUUAAUGUGGUAGAUUUUUUUUGCCCCAAAUAUUAAAUUACGGGUAUCGUUAUUUCCAUCCACAUUUUUUAUAUGUACAUUCUACUCUAAAUUCAUCCUUAAUAAAAUUUUAAAUUUUUAAAAAAAAUACUAUUUGCAUUUACGUUAUAUUUCAAUCUUGUCCUUAUUAACUUCAUGAAUGUAAAUAUUAUAUAUCCACAUGAAUUUUAUAUAUUCAUAUCAUUU
rnacentral:lncRNA from 1 species